UGGGUCCCUCAUCUGGGCCGCAGGCCUGUGUGUUUUGAGGGGGUGAAGCACUGAGCUGUUCGGCCAGCCUUAGCCUGAGUACUCCACAUUCCCUCUCCUCUUCCCUAUGGUGAUUACUGAGCCAAAGCCCGAGUGGGUGAAGCCAGCCCAUCUUGGGUCUUCCGUCUGAUUUCUCUUUUAGUUUAAUAAUAGGGAAGCUCUCAUCCAAGUAUGAGGAUUACUCCUCCUACCUGAAAACUACAACUUCCCUGUUGUCUGUUUGUUGUUAAGCCCACCACAUGGUUCCUGUAUGGGUUAUAUGUGGCUGUAUAGCGGAUUAUCCCAAAAUGUGGUAGCUUAACACAGUGUUUAUUACCUUGUGGUUUCUGUGGGUCAGGAAUCUAGGCUCAGCUGGGUGGCUCUGGCUCAUGGUGGGUCUCUCAUGAGAUUACAGUCAAGAUAUUGGCCAGCUCUGGAGUCAUCUGAGGUCUUGACUGGGGCUAGGGGGUCUGCUUUCAAGAAGGCUCACUCUCAUGGCUGUCGCAGGAGGCCUCAGUUUCUCAACGCCUGGACCUCUCUGUAAGGAAGCUUGAGUGUCAUUACCGCGUGGCAGCUAGCUUACCCCAGAACGAGUGAUCUGAGAGUGAGAGCAAGCAGGAAGUCACAGUUCCUUGUGUGACCUAGUCUCAGAAGUUGCACAUUGUCGUGUAUGCUUUGCUCUGUUAGUUGGAUGUGAGUCACUAAGUUUAGCAGACCCCACCUCUUGAAGGGAGGAGUGUGAAAGAACUUGGGCACAUUUUAAAACCACCACAGCUCCUGAGGGCCUACCGCGUGCUGGGCACUAGAGGUGGUUCAGGGGAUCCAAGGCAUGGACCACCGUCUGCCCUCCAGAAGUUUACAUCUGCUUGGGGAGUGUCUGCUUUCUUCCAUGAAGAUGUGGAUGCUUUGAGGGACACCUGCCCAAUCCCUCCUCUGCACAGGCCCAGACGGUGGCCAAGCUGGGUUUUAGGAAGCUGAACGAUCUGGGACAUCCAGCCAUACCUGAAAUCUCCCAUUACAGCUCUCUUCUUGGGUGAAGACUCCACAGGCACCCAGGAAGCUCUUUGAAAAUGCACACAGGAAAAGAAAAAAGGCCACAGGAAUGCAACCUGACAACUGUCUCAGCCUCCAAGUGUUGGAUUGCCGUGGACUCAGCCGCUGAGUAAAUUAGCUUUGCCACGAAGGCAACCACAGAACGCUGGUCCUAUCCAAGCCACAUUUAUGGUGCUCCCCGCUGCGAUUUGAGGCCUGUCUGCCGAGCUUCCUGCCUCUUGGCCUUCCCGCCGCUCUUUGUGCUGAUGCCAUGCUUCCAAGAGCAGCUUUCAGACCAACUUUAGGUUUUGCUUACUUUGCCGGUGAACAUCCUGCUCGUUUUAUUUUGUGGUUGGUUUUUAUAAGGAAAAAAAAAAUUUUAAGUACAUAUUUUUCAGACAACUGUGUUGAGGGGUAUUUGAGAUACAAUAAAUUGCACACUUUUGAAAGUGUGUAACUUAAUCCAUUUUAACAUAUGUAUAAACUUUGUGAGAUUACCAUCGAAAUCAUAAUAAACAUUUCUAUCAUCCCCGGA